rnacentral:rRNA from 1 species
UACGUAGGGCGCAAGCGUUGUCCGGAAUUAUUGGGCGUAAAGAGCUCGUAGGCGGUUUGUCGCGUCUGCUGUGAAAUCUCAAGGCCUCAACCUUGAGCUUGCAGUGGGUACGGGCAGACUAGAGUGUGGUAGGGGAGACUGGAAUUCCGUGGUGAUAGCGGUGAAAUGCGCAGAUAUCGGGAGGAACACCAGUAGCGAAGGCGGCACUCUGGGC